rnacentral:snoRNA from 1 species
CCAUGAUGUCCAGCACUGGGCUCCAACCACCCCUAUGGACACCAUGCCCCCCAGGACCUUUGACACCCAGGGGUCUGAG